AGAGUUUGAUCCUGGCUCAGAACGAACGCUGGCGGCAUGCCUAACACAUGCAAGUCGAACGCUUGGCUCUGGUUCGCUGGGGCCAAGAGUGGCGCACGGGUGAGUAGCGCGUGGGAACCUGCCCUGUUGUGGGGGAUAACCGAGGGAAACUUCGGCUAAUACCGCAUAAGCCGGGAAACCGGGAAAGAUUUAUCGCGACA
rnacentral:rRNA from 1 species